UUCAAACAAAUUCCCUUUCAUUUAUUUUUAUAAAAAAAAAACUAAACAUAAUCGAAUUUUUUUUUACAACCAGCCAGUAUGCCAUCAAUAACAAAAAAGUUUACAUACCAAUGCACUUUGAGUGAAUAAAAACUUAAUAUAAAUGGUAAAUUUGUAAUAUCAUGCAUGUUGAUUAGACUUUUUUGAUGUGUGAAUUUUGUGAAUAAAAAACCCAUGCGUAUCGAUUAUUAUUUACAUGAUUUCAAUAUAAUCGCUUCAAAUGUCAAAACUGAUUUUUGAGAGUCGGGUUGUUCUUUAUGCGUGGCACAUCACUUUACUCAUGUAUCCAUGAAGUAUAACAUUAUCGGUAUGACAUUUUAACUAAAAAAAUAUGAAACUUCAUAGGUGUGAAAUGUCAAAAGUAGGCGUGUGUAUGCCAAUUAUCUAUUUGUUGACCAUGUAUAGGGCUGCGUUAGUGGUUACGUAUGUGUGCGCAUGCUUGUGUUUAUUUGACUAGGGCGUGUCUAGGGCGUAAAGGUCUAAAAGGCAUAAAAGGCAUUUAUUUUCUCAAAAUUGAUUCCUUUAGAAUUCUUUUUAAUGUCAUUUCUUAUACUACUAGAUACUACUACCGCUUCGGAAACAAAUGGCGCUCUGAGAGAGAAGAAGCGGCGCAAGAAACUCUCCCAGCAUUCUUUUUUUGCGCUCUUUUCAAUAAAAAUAUACAAUACUGUACAGUCAUUUCUAUCGCUAUAAAAUAAUCACAAUCUAGUCCCAGGCUGUCCGAUCAUUUAGAUAUUCAGCAGUGGAGUAAUAGGAUUUACGACAGAGCCAUUUUUUUUAUAAAACAUUUAAAUGUAUUUAUAGAUAAUGCCUGAACAGUGGCUGGGACUUUAUUGUAGAAGUGUAUACAUUUACCCUUAAAGCUAUUAUGUAUCUUAUGAAGCCUACUAGAAUUAGUUACAAGCAAUCCCUUAUUUCAUGUGUUAUAAUAAUGAAAAUCACUAUUAAGAGCAAAAAGGUGACGAUUCUUAACAGUCAUAAUAUUUAUUUCUUUAAAUUUUUCUUUGAGAGACUGUCUAUAACUAAGCUGUUAUAUAACACGAACAGCUCUCUUUUGCAGAGCAGACACUAUAUCAAUGUCAGCAGCAUGACCCCAUAGUAAAAUACCGUACGUCAUGAUGCUGUGAAAAGGUCGGUAACGUUCUUGUGCCUGUCGCGGUGGUAACCAACCGGUGACCUGUAUGUAUGCUCGUUCGUAAGUAUAGUAAUCUUCCCUAAAAAAACAAAAAGCGAAUUGAAACGCGCCAAAAUUAACAUCCAAAUUUUUUGUGUUAACUUGAGUGUAAAUUUCGCUAAUAUUUGAAUUCAAUCAUUGAGAUACGUGUUUUGCCUCGUGUAGAGGCAUCCUCAGGAGGAGUUGACUAGCGGCGAGUUGAUGACAAAUACUAGCGGAAUUUACACUCAAGAUAACUAAAAGAAAUUGGAUAAUUAUGGAUUUCCUCAAUAUGACGCCAAAUUCAAUAAGUUUUCCAAAAUAAACACUUAAUCGUACCUCUAUACUAGGCGUUAUAUUCCAAUAGGUAUAUUAAACUGUGGUCGUUAUGUCGUAAGAGAAAUUCUUAGACUAUUCACAAAUAUGUCUUUGUCUACGUACCGGUUUGUGAUUGUCUAUGAAAAUACAACGAAAAUUAUUUUAUUAUUUGAUUAGAUAUUAGAAUUCUUGAAAAUUUAACUUUAGUCAAAGUUACAGCUUAAUUAUUUAUGUCUUUUUUUAUUUAAUUUCAUUUUUCGUAAGCAAUAUUUCUUAGUAAUUGAAUUAAGGUAAUUUGAAGUUUAUAUAACCACCAAAAUUAAUAUGCGAACUUAUCUAAGGAAGUAUUUUGUAUUAAAAUUGGUGAUAUACCAUUGCAUAAAUGUUAAAUUAUUAAUUUUCUGUAGCCAAUGCUUUGCUUUUGUUAACAUAGAUGUAAAAUGGUGUAAAGUGACAGUUGCAUCUGUAUAAACACUAAGCUAUUGUAAACAUAUUGGUAUUGUAUUGAACUGAAUUGUAAAGUGCAAAUUACAAACUUGUCUUUUAGUAUUGCACUCCAUACAUAUGUGUAAUAUGAUUCGUAUCACUUCUCACUUGCUUCUUAAUAAUUUACACUUAACCGUUUGAAUAUUAUAACUAGGCGCUUAAAAUGGAGACGAUCAUUUGACAAAUUUAUAUCUUUGAUAUUAUGUUUGAAACCACAAUCCAUGUACGUUCAUAUUCGUUUAAACAAACUGGAAAUAUAAUAAUCAUUGAUUACUUAGUGUUAAUUAUACCUUUAUCUACACCCAUGCUUUAAAUCCUCUAUUAAAGAUGCUAAAACAGCUAGCUUAUUGCUAACGAUAAAACACCUAAUGUCCUAAUAACCGUUACAUCAUCCAAACGAGUGUUGUAAUGAAAUUCAGUACAACAUUACAACAUUCGUUUGGAUGAUGUAAUAGUUAGUUAGGCUUUUUUAAUGUUAGCAAUAAGCUUACUGUUUCAGAAUCUUUUAUAGAGGAUUCAUAUUAUGGCUGUAGAUAUGUAUUGUAUGCAACUGUUGAUAAUUAGGUAUUAAAACACUAAUGUGAUACUAUUAUCAUUAUGAUAAACCGGCAUUUGUGUUUUUAUUAUUGGUAUUAACCCCUUAUUACACAACAGUGGCAUAAAUAUCUAUUUGAAUUGGCAAGGCUAUCUAAAAGAGACGCGCAACGUCUUUGAGGCAUACUGAGAGAACACGAGUCAUUGAUUUCGCGCUAUUUCACUACGAAUUAAAAAAAUAUACGAUAAUUUGUCGAUAUUCCCAAUUUUUCUGUCUCAGAGUUUUUACCUUAUUUAGUAAAAUGCUAUUUAUUUAGCUAGCAUCCGCAUGUUAUUUACACAGUUAUUUGUGGCUAUAUUUCUGUUGCAGUGUUUACGAUUGUUGUCUAAUCUAGUUGAUACUUGAUCGGAGAUGACGUAGUUUUACAAUGAUCACCAUAUUUUGCCUCUAACUGUACAAAUGCCUACGCUAACAUGUGCUAUGAAGACAAUUACAUUUUUGAUUUCUUUUUCUUAAUUUCUUAUUUGUGUGUGUGAAUAAUGUAACCCAAGAAGCAAAAGCGAUUAAAGGAGAUUUUUUCUUAAUAAUAUGCUUAGAGCCAGUUCUUUACCAGACUAGUCUGAUAAACAGAAUGUAUGUACAAAUAGUUCUUGGGGACUAUUAUUUCCAUUGAUGCCAAAAUAAAUUAUACGAAACUGAUUUAAUUGAAUAUGUUUCAGAUAAUACAUGGUUUUCAUUAAGAUUAUUUGUAAUAACUUUAAUCGAAUUAAAUUAAUUAACUUGCACUUCAGUUUUCUAAAGUCAUAUCGCAGAAAACUGUUUGGGCAGCUGUGAAAACGUCGAAAAAAAAAUAAUCUAGACCAAUGACAUUCUAUACAUAUGGACAUAUCAUUCGCAGUCUGAUAACGGAACGGCAAAAAAUUUGCUUAAAGACAGUCAGCACUUUUUCCACAAGCUUUUCUCCUUAGUCGUGUAUAAACUGUGUGUCACUGAACAAGCCUAAUUGUGCUAUAAAAAGUGCUUAAAUAAUACAUUAACGACUCAAAAAAAGAUGGCGUGACGUAUCAUCGGUAAGGUUAUUUUAUUUAUAUAAGAUUGAUACGCAAAAAGCGGAAGUAAUUUAUUAGAACGAAUAUUUUUUCAUUAAAUAUGGUACAAUUUUUUGGAGUCUGUUGCUAUUUUUAAAGGCCUAGUGAACAAUGAUUAGCAAUAUUGUAUUUUGUGUAAUGUGAACGGCCUACAAUACGUGUACAAUUUAUACUAGUGCUAUUUACACGUUAUCACGGAAAUAUCGUUACCUAGUGAUAUUUGAUACUUAUUUACAUCGCAAAUAUGUAAAAGCUAAUAUUUUUCAGCUUUCCCGUACACGAGAUAAUUAAAGAGAAUUGGCGCCAGUUGGUAGCAAGAGAGGGAUGUCAAAAAAUUACAAACCAAAUAAGCAUAUUUAUGGACUAGACUUAAGUCCGAAAGUGCCAAAAAAAUUUAUAUAAGAGUAGGAACGGCCAAUUUGCAAGCAUCAACAAAAAAAUAUCCAUACAGAACUGGAACGGCUACCGUGCAUGAAAAGUAUAAUAAUAAACACCCUGAUACGAAUCCUAAUUUUGAUUAUGACAUGGCAGUGGUAAAAGUAUCAAAAAAAUUUAAUCUUGAUGGCGUUAAUAUGGCCGCGGUUACCUUCGUGGAACCCGGAGAGCAGCCUGCUGAAGGUACAAACUGCACAGCGACUGGAUGGGGCCUUACAAAACAAGGCGGAGAAGGCUCCUCGGAUUUAUUGGCAGCCUUUCUUAGGUUUGUAAGUUAUGAAAAAUGUUUAAGAGUCUACAGAAGAUAUCUUACACCUAGAAUGGUUUGCGCUGCUUCUUUUACAACUCUUUCGAAGGGAGUGAUGAAUGUGUGUCAGGGUGAUUCCGGCGGUCCCCUCUUUGAAACUGAUUCCAUGAAAGUCAUUGGAUUGGUGUCUUUUUUAUUCAAUUGCAAUUCAGAUACACCUUCAGUUUUUACCAGCUUAGUCGAUCCUGGUAUGAGGAAAUGGAUAACAGAACAUACGAAAAUCGAAAAUUAAAUCAAGAGCAAUUUAGGAAUAAUAAGUUUGUAAAUUUUGCAUGCCUAGUUAAAUAAAUAUUUCCUU